CUGAAGUGCGACGAGCCUGCGGGUGGUGACGCACUUUGUAGGCACCUAUGGGCGGAUGCGGGAUUGGAGGCUGCUGAGAGUGGCAAGUUUUACAACAGUAACAGAAAUGUAGGAGAAUGAAUAAAAUGAGUUCUCUGCAACAUAAACUUCCACAGUGGAUGUCUUCCCAAAGGAAAGGCUAUCCUUGGGGAGACAAAAAGAAGUCUCAUGUUCAGAAGAGUCUUCUGGAAGAUGACCUGCCUUUUUUAGUGUUCCAUGGCUCCAUUGUCUACAGCUAUGAUGCCAGCGAUUGUUCCUUUCUCUCAGAAGAUAUCAGAAUAAAUUUAGCUGACGGAUCUGUGAUAGGGUUUGACGUUGAAUGGCCACCAUCAUACAUUAAAGGAAAAGUGGGAAAAGUGGCCCUAAUCCAAAUUUGUGUGUCUGAGGAAAAAUGUUAUCUCUUUCACAUAUCUUCAAUGUCAGGUUUUCCAACAGGACUCAAAAGAUUACUGGAAGAUGAAACGAUUAAAAAAGCUGGCGUAGGAAUUGAAGGAGACCAGUGGAAGCUGAUGAGUGAUUUUGAAAUCAAACUGAAGAGCUUCGUAGAGCUGGCUGAUGUUGCCAAUGAAAAACUUAAGUGUAAAGAGAUAUGGAGUCUAAAUGGUCUGGUAAAACACCUAUUCAGUAAGCAGCUUCUGAAGGACAAGUCUAUUCGUUGUGGUAACUGGGAAGACUUUCCACUAAGCGAUGACCAGAAAUUGUAUGCAGCCACUGACGCCUAUGCUGGCUUCAUCAUUUUUCAAAAACUGGAAUAUAUAAAUAAUGAUGAUCAGAAGCUAUUCGGUAUAAGAAGUGAUGGAGAGAUGUUUGCAAAUGAAGUGAAGAACCAAUUGACUUCAUUAGCUGAAGAGAUGAUGGAUCUGGCUAAAUUCUCUGGCACUUCUGGACAACUUACAAACACAGAGAGAACUGUGAAAAUAUUAACUUGUAUAUCAGAAAAUAUAAGUGCCUUAAGAAGUUUGUUGCUUCAUGAAUCAAAUGAUCAAGUGGAACUGGGAAGCAGUUGUGCUGUAGAUUCAAGAAGACCUGGAAUUCUGUCCACCAUUCUUGAAGAAGAAAUGGAUGUAACACCUGAAUUCACUAGAAGCCUGCAAGAUAAUUUAAACGACUCCGAUAAUUCUUUAAUGUGCAUCAAGGGGGGGCAUCCUAUUGAUAAAGAAACAGAAGGUACCAAGAUUGACCAUAAAGCUGGGACUGAAGAGGCAGAAUCCAAGAAAAGCCUGGAUAGAGAGUGCUUAAUGUCAUUGAACAUUACUGAAUAUGAACUUCAAAUGUUGGAGCAACAGGCUAAUGAAGAAAUGCUAAAAGAAGCUGUUUGUGUGACUGAGAACCCUUAUUCCAAGGAAGAGGAAAAUAACCUUGCUUGUGUCAUUGAAAGUGAUGAAGAACUAGAAAUGGAAAUGAUUAAAACUUUGGAUGAUGUCAGCAACUGUAAAGCGGAUCUGACAAACUCCACUGAAACUAAGAAAGAUAAUGACACAAAAUUGCAUCUUGCUCCAGAUGAUGAAGAUGAGGGCAUUGAGGAGGAGGAAGAAGAAGAAAGCUGGGAUCCCUUGUUGCCCAGCCCUAGUGAAAAAGAAGAAAUCUGUUUAAAAACAUAUUUUGGUCAUUCUGCUUUUAAACCGGUCCAGUGGAAAGUGAUCUAUUCUGUUUUAGAAGGUAGAAGAGAUAAUCUUGUUGUCAUGGCAACUGGAUAUGGGAAGAGCCUGUGUUUCCAGUUUCCACCUGUUUACAUGAAACGUACAGGAAUAGUCAUCUCUCCUCUCAUUUCUUUGAUGGAGGACCAAGUACUGCAACUUGAUAUGUCAGACAUUCCAGCUUGUUUACUUGGAGCAGCUCAGUCAAAAAAUGUUAUAGGGAACAUCAAAGCAGGCCACUAUAGAGUUGUCUACAUGACUCCAGAGUUUUGUUCAGGAAACUUAUCGUUGCUUCAGGAACUUGACCAAACUAUUGGUAUCACACUCAUAGCUGUCGAUGAAGCUCAUUGCAUUUCAGAGUGGGGUCAUGACUUCAGAAAUUCCUUUAGGACUUUGGGUUUGUUAAAGAAGACUCUCCCUUUGGUUCCUAUUGUUGCUUUAACUGCAACAGCAAGUCCUUCGGUUAGAGCAGACAUAGUAGACUGUCUGCGCCUAAGGAAUCCUCAGGUCACGUGUACUAGUUUUGACCGACCUAAUCUGUACUUGGAAGUUGGACGGAAGACUGGCAGUAUCCUUCAGGAUUUAAAACAAUUCCUCAUUAAAAAGGGAAGUUCUACCUAUGAGUUUGAAGGACCUACUAUCGUCUAUUGCCCUUCAAGAAAGAUUACCAGUCAAGUAGCUGCUGAGCUGAUGAAAUUAAAUGUAGUCUGUGGCAUGUACCAUGCUGGCAUGGGAAUCAAAGAAAGAAGAUAUGUCCAUCAUAGGUUUAUGAGAGAUGAAAUCCAGUGUGUUGUUGCUACUGUGGCUUUUGGAAUGGGUAUCAAUAAAGCAGAUAUCCGGAGAGUUAUUCAUUAUGGAGCCCCUAAGGAAAUGGAAUCAUACUAUCAAGAAAUUGGAAGAGCUGGCCGUGAUGGACUUCCUGCUUCUUGCUCUGUAUUGUGGACUCCAGCUGAUAUGACUCUUAACAGACAUCUUCUAACUGAGAUACGUAAAGAAGGAUUUCGACUGUACAAGUUAAAGAUGAUGGCAAAAAUAGAAAAGUAUCUUAACUCAAACAGCUGUAGAAGAAAAAUCAUCUUGUCCCAUUUCGAAGACAAACAACUCCGAAAGGUCUCCUCUGGCAUCAUGGGAACAGAAAAAUGCUGUGAUAAUUGCAGAUCCAGAACCUUUUGCUUCACAGCUGCAGAUGAGACGGAAAGUAAUUUGCAGGAUUUUGGGCAGCAAGCAUGCCAGCUGAUGUCUGCAGUGAGUGCCUUAGAUGAGAAUUUUGGAACUGGUGUUCCAAUUUUGUUUCUUCGAGGAUCUAAUUCUCAGCGUCUCCCAGAUAAAUACCGAGCUCACACACUUUUUGGUUGUGGGAAGCACUGGCCAGAGAAUUGGUGGAAGGCAUUGGGACGAGAGCUUAUUAAUGAGGGAUUCCUUAAAGAAGUUUCUGGUCGAAACAAAUUUGCAACCAUGUGUAUGCUUACUCAGAAGGGUAGAAACUGGCUACAUAAAACUAAAACUGGAUUGCAUCAAAGCCUUCUGCUACAGCCUAGUGAAGAACUAUAUCUUAAGAAACUUCAUUUCCCAAGUACCAGACAAACGCUAUUGGUUUCUGGGGAGCAUUCAUCAAACAUGAAGUUAACGAAGACCCAGGUGACAAAGUCACAACUGCAUGAAAUGUUUUCACACAAAGAAGUCAGUAAAAUUUCUGCAAGAAGUAGUGACUCAAAUAACAGUAUUGUGGCACAGUCACCAGAUACCCUGGAACCUGCUGUUUCAGCCAAGGAGAAGGAACUGCAUACUAUUCUCUACAGCAAGCUAUUGGCAUCCAGACAAAAGUUAGCCAAUGAGAAAUUCAUUCCUCCAGCUGUGCUGGCAACAAAUAAAAUAUUAGUGGACAUGGCCAAGAUCAGGCCUACAACUAUUGAAAAUGUGAAGAGAAUUGAUGGUGUAUCUGAAGCUAAAUCUGCCAUGUUGGUACCUCUCCUGAAUGAAAUCAAGGAGUUUUGUCAGGCAAAUAAUUCGCAGACAGAUACAUUCCCAACCUCUGAAUCUAGAGAACAGUGGCAAGCAGCCGUCCAGAAGGGUGUUGGGUGCCGACCCCUCCCUCAGUCGCAACUUAUAACGUACAGGCUGUUCCAGGAAAAGAACCUAUCUUUGAGGAACAUAAGCGAGAGCAGGUCUCUUCCUCUUUCUGUGAUCGGCACUCAUUUAUACCAGGCAAUGACAUCUAACUAUCCUGUUGACUUAGAACGAGCAGGUCUAACUCCUGAAAUUCAGAAGGCUGUUUCCAAUGUUAUCAAAAAUCCUCCCAUCAACUCAGAUGUAACCAAAAUACAAGAGAUUAGAACACUGGUUCCUCCAAAUAUUGAAACAUAUCUUAUCAGAAUGACAAUUGCACUACUGGAAAAAGGAGAUGGAAGUAAGCCGUGGAGUCAGCAGUGUCAGUCAAGCAACAGAAGAUUGCUAGAUGAAUCUGAAUGGCCGCAAGCAACUAUGGGACCAUUCCUGGAGAGCAAGGAAGAUGUUUUGUGGAUUGAGACAAAGUCUGAAAAGAACAGCAAGACAGAUGAUAUACAGCCAGUUAAUACCAAACAGGGUGUGCCAAGCCAUCAAAGCUCCCUCAGAUUAGCUUCCUAGAAUCAACCUUCCCUUCAUCUUGAUGAAGAAGGACUGUUUGCUGACUCCCAGUCAACGACUUCGAGUCAGCCUUCAAAGAGGAAGUUGCCAGAAUGGUUUGGGACUU